GUAGCGGCGAGUGAAGCGGCAAAAGCUCAAAUUUGAAAUCUGGCACUUUCAGUGUCCGAGUUGUAAUUUGAAGAAGGUAUCUUUGGGUCUGGCUCUUGUCUAUGUUUCUUGGAACAGAACGUCACAGAGGGUGAGAAUCCCGUGCGAUGAGAUGUCCCAGACCUAUGUAAAGUUCCUUCGAAGAGUCGAGUUGUUUGGGAAUGCAGCUCUAAGUGGGUGGUAAAUUCCAUCUAAAGCUAAAUAUUGGCGAGAGACCGAUAGCGAACAAGUACAGUGAUGGAAAGAUGAAAAGAACUUUGAAAAGAGAGUGAAAAAGUACGUGAAAUUGUUGAAAGGGAAGGGCUUGAGAUCAGACUUGGUAUUUUGUAUGUUACUCUCUCGGGGGUGGUCUCUACAGUUUACCGGGCCAGCAUCAGUUUGAGCGGUAGGAUAAGUGCAAAGAAAUGUGGCACUGCUUCGGUAGUGUGUUAUAGUCUUUGUCGAUACUGCCAGCUUAGACUGAGGACUGCGGCUUCGGCCUAGGAUGUUGGCAUAAUGAUCUUAAGUCGCCCGUCUUGAAACACGGACCAAGGAGUCUAACGUCUAUGCGAGUGUUUGGGUGUAAAACCCGUACGCGUAAUGAAAGUGAACGUAGGUAGGACCUCCUUUAGGAGUGCACUAUCGACCGAUCCUGAUGUCUUCGGAUGGAUUUGAGUAAGAGCAUAGCUGUUGGGACCCGAAAGAUGGUGAACUAUGCCUGAAUAGGGUGAAGCCAGAGGAAACUCUGGUGGAGGCUCGUAGCGGUUCUGACGUGCAAAUCGAUCGUCGAAUUUGGGUAUAGGGCGAAAGACUAAU
rnacentral:rRNA from 1 species